AUGCACGCUGGCGGCGUGCCUAAUACAUGCCAGUCGAGCGAACAGACGAGGAGCUUGCUCCUCUGACGUUAGCGGCGGACGGGUGAGUAACACGUGGAUAACCUACCUAUAAGACUGGGAUAACUUCGGGAAACCGGAGCUAAUACCGGAUAAUAUAUUGAACCGCCUGGUUCAAUAGUGAAAGACGGUUUUGCUGUCACUUAUAGAUGGAUCCGCGCCGCAUUAGCUAGUUGGUAAGGUAACGGCUUACCAAGGCAACGAUGCGUAGCCGACCUGAGAGGGUGAUCGGCCACACUGGAACUGAGACACGGUCCAGACUCCUACGGGAGGCAGCAGUAGGGAAUCUUCCGCAAUGGGCGAAAGCUUGACGGAGCAACGCCGCGUGAGUGAUGAAGGUCUUCGGAUCGUAAAACUCUGUUAUUAGGGAAGAACAAAUGUGUAAGUAACUAUGCACGUCUUGACGGUACCUAAUCAGAAAGCCACGGCUAACUACGUG
rnacentral:rRNA from 1 species